UUUAACAAAAACAUGUCCUUUUGAGUGGUAUUUAAGGUCGGGCCUGCCCACUGAUAUUAAUUGAAGGGCCGCGGUAUUUUGACCGUGCAAAGGUAGCAUAAUCAUUAGUCUUUUAAUUGAGGGCUAGAAUGAAUGGUUUGACGAAAUAUUGACUGUCUCUUUAUAAUAAGUGGAAUUUAACUUCUGAGUCAAAAGGCUUAGAUGAAUAUAGAAGACGAGAAGACCCUAUAGAUCUUUAUAUGAUAAAUAUAAUUAUUAAUUUGGUUGUAUUAAUUAUGAUUGUAUUAUUAUAUUUUGUUGGGGUGACAUGAAGAUAAGAAUAACUCUUUAUACUAAGUACAUUGAUUUAUGGAUAAUUGAUCCGUUAUUAACGAUUAUAAGAUAAAGUUACCUUAGGGAUAACAGCGUAAUUUUUUUUGAGAGUUCUUAUCGACAAAAAAGAUUGCGACCUCGA
rnacentral:rRNA from 1 species